CACAGACUGAUGGAUGGAGGUAGAGAGAGAGAACAAACACAGACUGAUGGAGAGAGGUGGAGAGAGAGAACAAACACAGACUGAUGGAGGUAGAGAGAGAGAACAAACACAGACUGAUGGAUGGAGGUAGAGAGAGAGAACAAACACAGACUGAUGGAGAGAGAGAACAAACACAGACUGAUGGAGGGAGGUGGAGAGAGAGAACAAACACAGACUGAUGGAUGGAGGUGGAGAGAGAACAAACACAGACUGAUGGAGAGAGAGAACAAACACAGACUGAUGGAGGGAGAUGGAGAGAACAAACAAAGACUGAUGGAGGGAGGUGGAGAGAGAGAACAGACACAGACUGAUGGAGGGAGGUAGAGAGAGAGAACAAACACAGACUGAUGGAGGGAGGUGGAGAGAGAGAACAAACACAGACUGAUGGAGGGAGAGAGAGAGAACAAACACAGACUGAUGGAGGUGGAGAGAGAGAACAAACACAGACUGAUGGAGGUGGAGAGAGAACAAACACAGACUGAUGGAGGGAGAGAGAGAGAACAAACACAGACUGAUGGAGAGAGAGAACAAACACAGACUGAUGGAGGGAGGUAGAGAGAGAACAAAC
ensembl:lncRNA